CCUACGGGGGGCAGCAGUGGGGAAUAUUGGACAAUGGGGGGAACCCUGAUCCAGCGAAGCCGCGUGAGUGAAGAAGUAUUUCGGUAUGUAAAGCUCUAUCAGCAGGGAAGAAAGAAAUGACGGUACCUGACUAAGAAGCCCCGGCUAACUACGUGCCAGCAGCCGCGGUAAUACGUAGGGGGCAAGCGUUAUCCGGAUUUACUGGGUGUAAAGGGAGCGUAGACGGCGAUGCAAGUCUGAAGUGAAAGGCGGGGGCCCAACCCCCGGACUGCUGUGGAAACUGUAUGGCUGGAGUGCCGGGGAGGUAAGUGGAAUUCCUAGUGUAGCGGUGAAAUGCGUAGAUAUUAGGAGGAACACCAGUGGCGAAGGCGGCUUACUGGACUGUAACUGACGUUGAGGCUCGAAAGCGUGGGGAGCAAACAGGAUUAGAUACCCGGGUAGUC
rnacentral:rRNA from 1 species